rnacentral:miRNA from 1 species
GUCAGAGCCAGAGUCAGAGACAGAGGCACAGACAGAGACUGAGACAGGGCCCCAGACGAGGUCGUUCCCCGCCUACGGGCAGGCAGGCUACUCAUCCCCAUUCCCCCUCCCAGUCACUGCUGCUCUGCUCUGCUCUGCUCCUUUUUCUGUUU